AAUGAUACAACGAACUCCUAGGUACCUGUCAUCCAACCUCAAUCAUUAUCAACCGACGGAUGAUAAUUGUUUUGAUUUGUUCAUCUCCCUGCUCACUUCCCCCAUCUAAGUUACGAAAAAGGAAGAUUCCAGACAUCCUGUCGUUCCAUCGGCACCGUUCUCAUUUUACAGGGAGGAAGUGAAGAAAUAGACAUGAUGACCUAAUCAACCACCAUCAGUAAUUUCAAAAACCGAGACGAACUCCAGCAACAGGGGACAAGAAAACAGGCAUGAAAUAAGCUCAAAUAAAAUGGAUGGAUCAAGUUAAUAAAAAUAAAAGCAGAAAUAAAUGAAACAAACAAACAAGGAACAAUAGUUGAGAUGAUCAAUAAAAGCCAAAGCCGGAGGUUCUGAAAGAAUGAUACGCACGUACCAACUUCCUGCACGUAUGAUGAAGGCAAAGAGAGAAGACACAACGUGAUAUGAUGCAGGACGAGAGGGCACGGACACAGAGGAGAUUCUUAGAAUUAGGAGACUUCUUCGUGCAGCAUCCUAGCUGAAGUCAGAGGGUGAGGUAAGAACCGCAAAUAAGGAAAGUUGCCGGAGAAAUUCUUUUGUCAGCUGGGCUGAUGUUGGAGGUAGAUACGCUCUUGCAAAAAUCUAACGAUUUUUCUUCGGCUUUGAAUCCCAUCGUUAUUUUUUUGGUUCAUGGCCGACUUAUAUGAAAAAUGUCUUUAAACUAUUGAAUUACCCUCAGAGCGAGAUGCUCAAAGGUAGAAACGGACUGACUGCGUGGAUAGCAGUCACGUCUUGCUCGUGUGAGGCAUAACUUCUUUAACUGGAAUAACAAGAGGAAUUAUGCACGUGGUUUAAAUUGUUAGGCUCCCUUUUCCCUUCUUUUCUUUAAAAAGAUUUUUUAAAAAAUGUAAUAGAGCAUACAUAGCAAAUUCACAUAAUAAAUGUAUGAAUGAUAUGAUCCAGCUAUAUAACUUCAUACCCAUCCAUUUGAAAACCUAGAUAAAAUGGACACAAAUGUCAAGGAAAUUAUAAGUUACCAAAAAUUGGUACAAGAAAGCCAAUAGAAAACACUGGUGGUUAAAGUGGUUAAAGGCCCAUCUACCAAUGUGCCCCUCCCUCCCUAUCACCCAAU